UAUGGGAAAUGAUGCCAAAAAAAUGAGUGACUGAAGCAUCAGCUCUGCUGAAUUUUAAUUUGCACGUCAGUCUGAUCCCAAA